GAGGUGUGGCUACUCUUAUUUUAAGAGGAUGCACUUCUCAGAAAUGAAAGUGCUUCCCAAGAGGACAUGAUGAAAAAGCUUAUAACCCUGUUGGGGGGAAUCCCCAGACGUCCCUUACUUGUACACCGAUGGUAUAAAUUCACCAGUCCUCCUCUGACUUCACCACACACUGCUGACCAUCUGAGCUGCAAACACACACACUGAAGAAGCACUGUCAUGGCCGACACUAUGAAGACUGCUGUCCUGCUCCUGGUUUCCAGUCUGAUCCUAGUACAAGGGCAGCUGGGUGGUCUCCAGAGUAAGUGCUUGUGCCGGGAUGAAGCCAGGCGGAUCAACCCAAAGCUAGUGACCCAGGUGGAGGUGCACCCCUCCAGCAUCUUCUGCCCACACAAGGAGGUCAUUGUGACUCUGAAGAAUGGAACAAGAAGGUGUCUGAACCCAGAGUCUAAGUUUGCAAAGUUCAUUGAAAACAAAUACAGCACUUAAGAGAACACGGAAUGAUACUUAACAUUGUAGUAUCAUUGUAAGGACCGUGAAGUCCUGUGACCUUCAGACUGGACCCGCCUGAGGAGGGAUGUGAGGUUCUGACCUUGACCAAAGUGCAUUUGAGUUCAUCAUUGUACACUCUGCAUUCCGUGGGUUUCACUGGACAAGCGGAAACUGUAAAUGUCACCAUGCACCUCAGCCCUGACUGCUGUUCCCCUCAGCCCUGACUGCUGUUCCCCUCAGCCCAGACUGCUGUUCCCCUCAGCCCAGACUGCUGUUCCCCUCAGCCCAGACUGCUGUUCCCCUCAGCCCUGACUGCUGUUCCCCUCAGCCCUGACUGCUGUUCCCCUCAGCUCUGACUGCUGUUCACCUCAGCUCUGACUGCUGUUCACCUCAGCUCUGACUGCUGUUCACCUCAGCCCUGACUGUUGUUCCCCUCAGCCAUGACUGCCGUUCCCCUAAGCCAUGACUGCUUUCCCCCUCAGCCCAGACUGCUGUUCCCCUCAGCCCUGACUGCUGUUCCCCUCAGCUCUGACUGCUGUUCCCCUCAGCUCUGACUGCUGUUCCCCUCAGCCCUGACUGCCGUUCCCCUCAGCCAUGACUGCCGUUCCCCUCAGCCAUGACUGCUUUCCCCCUCAGCCCAGACUGCUGUUCCCCUCAGCCCUGACUGCUGUUCCCCUCAGCCCUGACUGCUGUUCACCUCAGCCCUGACUGCUGUUCCCCUCAGCCCUGACUGCUGUUCACCUCAGCCCUGACUGCUGUUCCCCUCAGCCCUGACUGCUGUUCCCCUCAGCCCAGACUGCUGUUCCCCUCAGCCCAGACUGCUGUUCCCCUCAGCCCUGACUGCGGUUCCCCUCAGCCUGACUGCUGUUCACCGUCCCUGUCCUGCUGUUGGCGGGCUUUGUGUUGCCUUGUGAGAAUGUGAAUGUCUGGUUAUUUAUAUAUGUUUGUCUGUGUGUGGCUUCUUUUAUAUGCCUUUGUAAAGCAUCCUUGUGUGUGUGUAAGGUGCUGUUAAAGGAAACAUUCAUUUGAAUGAAAAACUGAUGUUAGUGUCAUAAGAGUAUUGUUUUACUUGGCCAGUAUAGACUUUUGUUCUUAUUUAAAUUAAUGUGUUUUUAUUAUUGUCAUCAUGACAUGUUUGUCAUUGUAGACUUGGACUAUUUAUAAAUAGUUAACAUGUACAACUUAAUAAACUGUUCAC